rnacentral:sRNA from 1 species
AAUUAGAGUUUUUUUGCAUAUGCCAUAAUUUGAAUUUUUAAAAACGAAUAUAAACUGUUCAAUACAUGAAAAAAUAUUAUAACGGGUGAAAAAUAGAUUUAAGAAAACUUUCUACUGAGUAACAGGUCAUAAUUUGAAAUAUUUAUAUUCAAUUUCAUACAUAUUAUAUUGAAAAUUUAUAAUCUUAUAUACUAUAAUAAUUAAUAACAUAUUAGAUUUUUUUAUGUGUAUGAUGUGAUUCAAUUUUUAAUACAAGCUGGAAAAUCCUAGAAUUGACGGGUUUAGAUCGAUAUUAAUACAAGAUGGUAUACUACAGGUGAAACUCUUAAAUUAACAAUCAAACUACAAGUGUAUAAUCUUAAACACUAAACAAUAUAGAUAAUAUCAACAAAACAUAUACAACUCACAGUUUACUAUACAUUUAAAAUCAAAUAAAAUAAUAUCAUAUAUUUUUAAAUCAUCUUUACAAUAAAAGUUUUUAGUUUAACUAAAAUAUAAGCGUACCUGCGGUAUACUGCAGGUUAAUAUCUAGAUUAUAGGGCUUAUUGGAUCUAAAGACGGGUCAUCAAAGAUUUCCUAAACUGAAGCAAAAUAUACUAAAUACUCAAAUAUCUAUCUGUUACCAAAUUAUAAACAAAUAAGUUCGUAAAACAAUUUAAUAUUUUAUAUACAAAAUCAAUUAAAUCUUAAUCACAUAAAAAUUAGCACAAAAAAAAAUAUUCAACAAUUAAAAAAUUAUCAAAUCUCUGUGUUAUAUAAGUUUUGAUACUAUAUUCGAAUAAAGUGUAAUAUACCUUUUCAAUUUGUAUUCUUUAAU